rnacentral:rRNA from 1 species
GGGCCCGCACAAGCAGUGGAUUAUGUGGUUUAAUUCGAAGCAACGCGAAGAACCUUACCAGGGCUUGACAUCCAACUAACGAAGCAGAGAUGCAUUAGGUGCCCUUCGGGGAAAGUUGAGACAGGUGGUGCAUGGUUGUCGUCAGCUCGUGUCGUGAGAUGUUGGGUUAAGUCCCGCAACGAGCGCAACCCUUAUUGCUAGUUGCUACGCAAGAGCACUCUAGCGAGACUGCCGUUGACAAAACGGAGGAAGGUGGGGAUGACGUCAAAUCAUCAUGCCCCUUAUGUCCUGGGCUACACACGUAAUACAAUGGCGUCCAACAGAGGGAUGCGAAGCCGCGAGGUGGAGCAAAUCCCCAAAAGACGUCUCAGUUCGGAUUGUAGGCUGCAACUCGCCUAUAUGAAGUCGGAAUUGCUAGUAAUCGCGGAUCAGCAUGCCGCGGUGAAUACGUUCCCGGGCCUU